CCUGUAAAGAGAAAGUUAAGCUUACCUACAUAAAAUAAAACCAAGGGAGAACUCUUACAUUUCAUAUUUUCUACUAGUACUGUAUCCAUUACAAAUUUCAAACCAAUUCAGUAAUUUGUAACAUUUUAUCUCUAAGUGCUUGUUUUAUUUUCCUUAUCAUAACAGAUUGCAUUAAAUCUAACAAUUUUUCUUUGUUCAGAGACUUUUAAGAGAAACACAGAAGUACCACUCAGCUGAGUUGCAGCAGACAAACCAUUUGAGGAAUUCCAAAUUUCUGCUGUAACAUGAGCACAGGACUAACCAAACCUUCUGAUGGAAGCACCAUGCCAGGAAAUCUUUGCUGUUUAUUCAAAAAGCUG